rnacentral:rRNA from 1 species
CCUACGGUGGGCUGCAGUGGGGAAUAUUGGACAAUGGGCGAAAGCCUGAUCCAGCCAUGCCGCGUGUGUGAAGAAGGCCUUCGGGUUGUAAAGCACUUUCAUUGGGGAAGAAAGCCUUGGGGCUAAUACCCUCGAUUAAUGACAUCACCCACAGAAGAAGCACCGGCUAACUCCGUGCCAGCAGCCGCGGUAAUACGGAGGGUGCGAGCGUUAAUCGGAAUUACUGGGCGUAAAGCGCGCGUAGGCGGUUUGAUAAGCCGGUUGUGAAAGCCCCGGGCUCAACCUGGGAACGGCAUCCGGAACUGUCAGGCUAGAGUGCAGGAGAGGAAGGUAGAAUUCCCGGUGUAGCGGUGAAAUGCGUAGAGAUCGGGAGGAAUACCAGUGGCGAAGGCGGCCUUCUGGACUGACACUGACGCUGAGGUGCGAAAGCGUGGGUAGCAAACAGGAUUAGAUACCCUGGUAGUC